AACGAACGCUGGCGGCAGGCUUAACACAUGCAAGUCGAACGCCCCGCAAGGGGAGUGGCAGACGGGUGAGUAACGCGUGGGAACGUGCCCUUCGCUUCGGAAUAGCCCCGGGAAACUGGGAGUAAUACCGAAUACGCCGUAUUGGGAAAGAUUUAUCGGCGAAGGAUCGGCCCGCGUUAGAUUAGCUAGUUGGCGGUGUAAUGGACCACCAAGGCUCCGAUCUAUAGCUGGUCUGAGAGGAUGAUCAGCCACACUGGGACUGGGAGACGGCCCAGACUCCUGCAGGAGGCAGCAGUGGGGAAUCUUGGACAAUGGGCGCAAGCCUGAUCCAGCCAUGCCGCGUGAGUGAAGAAGGCCUUAGGGUUGUAAAACUCUUUCGCCGGAGAAGAUAAUGACGGUAUCCGGAGAAGAAGCCCCGGCUAACUUCGUGCCAGCCGCCGCGGUAAUAC
rnacentral:rRNA from 1 species